GCAGCCGCAAAUCCUGGGGCGGGCUAUCAGCGGUGACGUCACGAAAGGAAUCAGCCAAUCAUCGUCAAGCUACUGACACGGCUUGAGUAAAAAGCACGCCCCGUCACUGGACAGCUCAUUCCUGGCGACGCGUUGGCACUGGCAGUUGGUGACAAGACCUUCCUCGUGCCAGACAUCCCCCCCCGCCACUGACACUGACAGAAGCCGAGUCGUCUGGUUCGCCGAGUGCUGCCGUCUGAUGGGUUCAAUGUAAAAGAAGGAUUGACAGGAUCAAACCGUUGACGCAGGCAUGAUGGAAUUGUCAGCCUGUCUGCUACAGCGAAUGGCGGGGGCCUCCUUCCACCCGUCACUUUGGCGAUGUAGUGUGUGUGCUUGGUGUGUGUGUGUACAAUUGUAUAUGCAUUAUGAAUAAACAGUCUUGGACUUCUCUCCUGAUGUUCGACUUUUUCUUUUGAAGUCAGAGAUGAGAGCUGAGGCUUCAGUGCCCAUUUUUUUUUAUUUUUAGAAAGGUUGAUGUGGUUAUUAUAUGUCUUCGUGUAUGUGUGCGCGUGUCUGUGCGUGUGUUGGUAUGCUUGUCUGUAUUUUUCGAUCUCAGGCGAAGAUAAACAGUCUGAAGAAGCCGAUAUUAUCUGUCAUUAUCGGUGCAGUAGUCGGCUCUGUCGUCGCCGUUGCUGUGAUCGUCGUUAUCGUCAUCGUUGUCAUACGACGAAGAAGGGCAGAUCCAACAUACGCAAGUCCGAAGUCGAGGCCUGCCCGGGUGAAGAACACGAGUACAUGGACCUGAGCGACACAGCCGGUCAGCCAAACCGGACAGCUGACUCAGAGCAACGAAAACAGGAAGAAGGUGCUUACGAAGUUCCUGUGUUUCCACCUUCUUAGCAGUGACUUUGCAUAGAGUGAUGACAUCACGGAACUUGUCACCGAAUACAGGGCAAAUCGUUUGUGCGAAAGGACAAUGGCAUGUCACCAGUGAACAGGUAAAGACCAGGACAGCGUCUGGGCGUGGCGUGUCUCAGAUGUUGUACAAAUGGAUGCAAGCCAUUUCAUUGCUUCUGUGGCUUUAGCUAGCAGGCCAGUUUCUUCACUCACAACAGGAGAACAAACGAUAUAAACGGGUGGGUAGCUUAGGUCUUUGACGGAGAGUCAAGAAGCAAGCCUGGUCAAUUUAGCGAAAGUAUGGUAGACUGAGAUCGCCAACAAUUCUGCCAGUAGAUUUUUCAUAGAGCCACAAGGGAGGAACCAAGACCACGAAAUUAACAGUAAUGGUUGGGCUAUGGAGGAAAUGCAGCCAGCCGUAAACGGUACCUCCUGUGGCUUACGAAGUCAAACUACAUACGAGUAUGUCGUUCAGGAAGAUUCUAAACGUCUGUAGCACUGGCUACUUCCCCUGAACGAAGUAGAAAGACCGACUCGCCAUUAUCAUUUAUUAUACAGCCAAUAUGAGCUCGGCUUGUGCACUUUGUUGAAACUGAAAAUGACUGAUCAGAAGUACAAAAGGAACUUCAAAAGGGCUGUUUUAUGUAGGAUGUUAAUGUUGUCAGAAUGAUUGAUUUUAGAAAAAUGUACUUUCUUUUAAACCUAAACAGAUAAAUAUCAAGAAUAUACAAAGGCCCUAGAUACCAUACGCUUUUUUGUUUACUUUUUUCAAGGAAUUGUAGCAUCACAAGCUAAGCUCUCGGCUUUGAAGAGCAAGAGUACUUCAGACAAAGUAUGCCUCUUCUAUACAUCUCAUGUCUAUGACAGACACAACAUUCAUAUAGAAGUACUUAUCAUUUCAACUUUGACCUCUUCCCCAUCACCCCACAAAGCAGUCAGUAUUUUUUUUUUCAGAACCGCAUUCGCCUUUGUUUUAUAUGUGCUGUUUAUUGAAAUCUGUGAUGAGAAAACUGUCAUGAUUUCUUGAGAAAGUGAGUCUUUUGGGUUAUUGUUUUGAAACAUGCGUGUUAUCUAGUAAACAUUUAUCUUGAA
rnacentral:lncRNA from 1 species